rnacentral:lncRNA from 1 species
GACCCCAAACAUCAGAAUGUACUAGCUCAAACAAAGACUCAGCCCGUUUAUUAAGCCGUGGGCCUAAAGAACUACGAUGAUGCUUCGCAAAAUGACACGACUCACAAUCUAAUGAAGGUAAAGUAUCAAACUGAGGACAUAAUUUCUUCAACACCGGUAGAGAAGGAUGUCCUAACCGACAAUGAGCUUCAACAGGAGAGGCAGUACUGACACACGCAACU